rnacentral:misc_RNA from 1 species
GAUGAAGAACGUAGCGAAAUGCGAUACUUGGUGUGAAUUGCAGAAUCCCGCGAAUCAUCGAGUUUUUGAACGCAAGUUGCGCCCAAAGCCAUUCGGCCGAGGGCACGUCUGCCUGGGUGUCACGCAUCGUUGCCCCCCCAAACUCCGGUUCGGGCGGGGCGGAAGUUGGCCUCCCGUGCGUGCCUGCGCGCGCGGUUAGCCCAAAAGCGAGUCCUCGGCGACGAGCGCCACGACAAUCGGUGGUUUUUUUACCCUCGUUCCUCGUCGUGCGUGUCCCGUCGCCCGAACGCGCUCUUGUGACCCUCACGCGUCGCCUCGGCGGCGCUCCCAACGCGACCACAGGUCAGGCGGGACUACCCGCUGAGUUUAAGCAUAUCAAUAAGCGGAGGA